UACGUAGGGUGCGAGCGUUACUCGGAAUUACUGGGCGUAAAGCGUGCGCAGGCGGUGAGCUGUGUCCGAUGUGAAAGCCCCGGGCUUAACCUGGGAAUGGCAUUGGAAACUGGCUCGCUGGAGUGUGGCAGAGGGGGGUGGAAUUUCCGGUGUAGCGGUGAAAUGCGUAGAUAUCGGAAGGAACAUCAGUGGCGAAAGCGACUUCCUGGACCAGUACCGACGUUCAGGCACGAAAGCGUGGGGAGCAAACAGG
rnacentral:rRNA from 1 species